rnacentral:lncRNA from 1 species
AAAACAGAAAUGCUGAACCUAAAAAGUGAAGGUGAGCUCAUGCUUCUGCACUUCAUCUGUUUUAUACAUGUUUAUAUGUAAUAUCAGCCUAAUGUGUAAUUCAUUUUUUUUCAAGAACAGACUGUUAAAGUGCAAAUCUCAGUGUGAUAUAAGAGAAUAAAUAUGGACUUUAAAAACGGUAAACGUGCUGCUGUUCAGAUGAUCCAGAUCUGGUAUAAAUGCAGUGUUUUAUGCUUAUGAACAGUCUUCUCUCAUCAGAUGUUAACGCUGGUGGUUUAUUAAACCAAGGAGACACUUGUUACCUGAACAAUGUGAAGCAGGAGCUGUUCCAAGGCUUCAGAGAAGCUGUGGAGAGACACAACACCUGCAUGGAUCGACACCUUAAAGACCUGUUUGAUGAGCUGCAGCGUCGCACACCCAGCACCAACACAAUCCUAAACAAGCUGGGCAUCGACAGAGGUACAGGAUCAGCAGAACAGCGUCAGCGUCACGUCUGCUGAUCAGAGUCCUGUGGAUGUGGGUCCUGAACCACACACAAUCAGCAUUUGUCUGAAUGAGCUCAUUGGUCGCUCUGCUCCUGUUUCCUCAGUGUGGGAACAACAAGACGCUGCUGAGUUCUACGUAAAGAUCUUAAGUCAAACCAGUGAAGCUGCUUCACAGGUAAAAACAUCACUAACGUCAAACAGUCGCUCAGAUCCAAACUAACACUUAUCAGUGUCUGUGUUUUGUUUGCAGAUCUUCCACGGAGCGUUGACACAUACGACCAUAUGUCAUAAUCCUCAGUGUGGAGCACAGAAACCUGCAGACUCACGUUUCUGGCAUCUUCCUCUCUCAUUGAAUGAUUCCCACAGUGAAGAAUAUCAAGUGGUGAGAAUCUGACGGUCUGUGAACUAAACACAUGGUGUCAAACAGACCAAAGACUAAUGUAAAGAUACAUCAGCGUGAUGUUGGGUCAGAACCAUUACUCUUUACUUAGUUACUCUUUACCUUGUACAGAUAAACAGCCGCCACCAUCGCUGUGUAAUGAAAC